GUCAUAUUCCGGCUCCCAGCCUCACAAUGCAGCGCGUGAGGGAGCUAAGCAGACAACUCAGAGGAAGUGCUCCCUCGCCAGCUGCCCGUCUGCCGCCCCAGCAGCCCGACUGGCAGCCCCACUAGACCCCAGGGAGAUAGAGAACCCCCCAGCAUUAGCAAAGGUAAGGAGGCUGGGGGUGUAAAUUAAAAAAAAAAUUUGAGUGUGUCUGUUAGAGAGUGUGAGUGUGUCUGUUAGUGUGUGUGUGUGUCUGACUGUGUCUGUUAGUGAGUGUGUCAGUUUCUGUUAGCUAAUGUAUGCAUAUCUGUGUGUGUGUGUGUGUGUGUAUUUAGAAUGCGGGGCGGGGGAGGGGGGCGCCUGAGUUUUGUCCUGCCUAGGUCAGCACAAAACCAGGAUACACCACUGAGCUCCACCAUCAAUAUAUCUACAGCUUCUUAUACAC